GCAAGUCGAGCGGUAAGGCCCUUCGGGUACACGAGCGGCGAACGGGUGAGUAACACGUGGGUGAUCUGCCCUGUACUUCGGGAUAAGCCUGGGAAACUGGGUCUAAUACCGGAUAUGACCUUACAUCGCAUGGUGUUUGGUGGAAAGAUUUAUCGGUACAGGAUGGCCCGCGGCCUAUCAGCUUGUUGGUGGGGUAAUGGCCUACCAAGGCGACGACGGGUAGCCGGCCUGAGAGGGCGACCGGCCACACUGGGACUGAGACACGGCCCAGACUCCUACGGGAGGCAGCAGUGGGGAAUAUUGCACAAUGGGCGAAAGCCUGAUGCAGCGACGCCGCGUGAGGGAUGACGGCCUUCGGGUUGUAAACCUCUUUCGACAGGGACGAAGCGCAAGUGACGGUACCUGUAGAAGAAGCACCGGCCAACUACGUGCCAGCAGCCGCGGUAAUACGUAGGGUGCGAGCGUUGUCCGGAAUUACUGGGCGUAAAGAGCUUGUAGGCGGUUUGUCGCGUCGUCCGUGAAAACUUGGGGCUCAACCCCAAGCUUGCGGGCGAUACGGGCAGACUUGAGUACUGCAGGGGAGACUGGAAUUCCUGGUGUAGCGGUGAAAUGCGCAGAUAUCAGGAGGAACACCGGUGGCGAAGGCGGGUCUCUGGGCAGUAACUGACGCUGAGAAGCGAAAGCGUGGGUAGCGAACAGGAUUAGAUACCCUGGUAGUCCACGCCGUAAACGGUGGGCGCUAGGUGUGGGUUUCCUUCCACGGGAUCCGUGCCGUAGCUAACGCAUUAAGCGNCCCGCCUGGGGAGUACGGCCGCAAGGCUAAAACUCAAAGGAAUUGACGGGGGCCNGCACAAGCGGCGGAGCAUGUGGAUUAAUUCGAUGCAACGCGAAGAACCUUACCUGGGUUUGACAUACACCGGAAACCUGCAGAGAUGUAGGCCCCCUUGUGGUCGGUGUACAGGUGGUGCAUGGCUGUCGUCAGCUCGUGUCGUGAGAUGUUGGGUUAAGUCCCGCAACGAGCGCAACCCUUGUCCUGUGUUGCCAGCGCGUUAUGGCGGGGACUCGCAGGAGACUGCCGGGGUCAACUCGGAGGAAGGUGGGGACGACGUCAAGUCAUCAUGCCCCUUAUGUCCAGGGCUUCACACAUGCUACAAUGGCCGGUACAGAGGGCUGCGAUACCGUGAGGUGGAGCGAAUCCCUUAAAGCCGGUCUCAGUUCGGAUCGGGGUCUGCAACUCGACCCCGUGAAGUUGGAGUCGCUAGUAAUCGCAGAUCAGCAACGCUGCGGUGAAUACGUUCCCGGGCCUUGUACACACCGCCCGUCACGUCAUGAAAGUCGGUAACACCCGAAGCCGGUGGCCUAACCC
rnacentral:rRNA from 1 species